rnacentral:lncRNA from 1 species
UUAUAUGAGCUCUGAUGGCCUAGUUUACUUCUUGCUUGAGUGGUUCAUGACUAGGUGCUUGCUCAUGUGGUGAUACUUUUAUAAACUGCAAAACUUGACAACUUGCUUCGUCUUUUGCUUAUAUCAUAAUAUCCUCUUGAUGGCAAUGCAAUUGCUCUUUAUGAUCUACCUGCUUGUGCAUUAUCUCACUUGUAGCCUUUGUAAGUGCUUUGUGAUAUAUUUGAGAAGCUUGG